CAGAUGGAAAUGUCUCAAACAGUUAGACUUGGUUCAAUCUUGCUACUGAUCUUUGAUUUGUUAUUUUAAGGUGAAUUGGUUGUGAAUGUAGAAGGAAGAGACUUCACGCCGCACGUGGUUAUUAUAUGUACGGGGGAGAAUGUCAUGGCAAAGGUAAUUUCACUUAUGGGUCCUCGAGCUGUUUGCAUUCUCUCUGUAAAUGGAUCUAUUUCGAAUGUUACUAUUCGUCAGCGUGGCUCCUCUGGCGGUAUUUUGACACAUAAGCUAAGAGGGAAUUCUCCCUCCAAGCAUCAUUUGGUAGCGGAGCUUGGCUUCAAUACUCUGCAUUCACGCUGCCGUGCAAGAGGAAGUUCAAGAAGACGGCAUGCUUUUUCUGCAACCUCAAGCUGUUUAGGUUGGAGGGUUCACAAGUAUUGCCCACAAACUUUCCACCCACAGAGGCAACAUAGGAAGACCUUGCUGCUAUGCGCCAACAAUU